ensembl:lncRNA
UGCUCACCUACCCCUAGAUCCCUGUAUAAGGAGGCGCCCAUUUCUGGCGAAGCGCUUAGGCUUCGGAGCACAACUCCACUGAGCCCUCCAGCGUAAUUAAAGGUUUGUCUCCACCUCUUCAAGUGACUUUCGGAUUCUCAAGUCUUCGAAUUGCAGCAGCAGCGGAUGCGUAUAGCACCGAGCUCUUCACCUUUGCCACAACAGGAUGAAUCUACGUAGAUGGCUUAUUGCCUGGAUGGCCUAAGACCUAAAGAAGGAUGGGUCCGCUUCUGUUCUUCUUCAGCAAAGCUCCAGUCUUCGCCUUCACCUUGGUCGUCAUCUCCUCCUGGCUUCCAGCAUAGACGCUUCAGCUUCCAGUGCAGAUCCAUCAGCCUUUCGGAGUAGACUCUUCACACAUCCGUCGCAGACCCAUCGGCCUCCUGACACAAACUCACACAGGACACUGCAGUGAGCUCCAGAGCUUCGACUGGAUCCUUUGGUCUCCAGGGUCCAGACAGACCCUCUGCCCUCUUCCUCAUCUGACUCUGUGGGUGGCCACUGGCAUGCAGCUCCUGCUUUGGUGGGCCUUCACUUGUGGACUGUGGCUUAUGAACUGAGUGAGUUGUGGACUGUGGGCUUGUGGACUGAGCCAGCUGUCACACCAUAGACCAGAUGCUACUGCUUGCCAGAAAGCCUGGUACUUGUCGCAGAAAUGAGAGGUCAAAUAUGAGGACUUAGCUGAGAAAGCUGUCUAGUGGGAUACUGCUUACAGCUUCUGCAUGGAAAGUUCACAGCAAUUGGGAGAAAUGGAG